rnacentral:lncRNA from 1 species
CGCGCGCGCUUUAAAAAAAUAAACAAAUCUUUUAAUCGGUUUCCGGAGAAACCCGCGAUUAGUCGAUUCUCGUAUUCAGGUGCGCAGACUGGGAGACCCAAACUACUCGGAUCCAGACGGUUUGCAAGAGACCAGCAAAGAUGGUGGAGUAGGAAGAAGCUGCAAAGCCUGGCUCCCCCCACAGUUCCUCCAAUAAAGAACUAAUUGGGUACCGGACUGAGUUGUGAUCAUUGGAUUGAAGGAGAAACCAUGAACUUGACAAACACCAGGAAGCAGCAACACCAUUUGCAAUGAAGAAUUGAAAAGGGGAUCGUACAUGAAAUCAUGAAUCUCCACAAC